GAAGAUUUUCACAUUUUAUUUUGUUUCAAAAAGAGAAAAAAUCUCCCCAUCUCACGCACAAACAGUUCACCUUUUAAAAACGCACAUAUUGAAAAGUAUGGUACAAACAAGUUUAUUGCCCCAAAACCAGUUUAUAAAUCCCACUGAUAACUAAUUGGAACUAUACAUUCUACACUGUGGCUUGCAAUGGGGUGUGUGUGUGUCCCAUUCCUAGAGCAAAUCCUCCUGAGCUGCUGCAGGUGACAUGGUCUCUAUCAGCAGCAUCAACAUUAUACUGGGUUGUAGCACAUGAGUCCUACUCAGAGUAGGACCACAGAAGUUAAAAUGUCCUGGCUACGUUAGGUGCAUUAAUGGGACUACUCUGAAGAAAACUUAGUUGGUGACAACUUUUUCUUCUUCUUUAAGAAAGUGGUUCCCAAGGAGGGGAAAAAUAACUCUCCCUUCCUUUCCCGGCUAACUGCCUGGCAUCACACCAAGCCAAGAGAAGGCAGAUCCUGGGUGUAAUUCAAAGGCAGAAAUGAGGGAACUCCAGAAAGAGUUUUGUCAGUUUAAAAUGCUGCUAUUUCUAUACUUCUGAAAAACUGACAGCCGUCAACGACGAUAACCCUAAUAUAUUCCUUGGUGAGCCAAAAUUGAUUCAACAAAAGUAGUGGCAGGAGAGGAGCACUGUCUACACAGAACUGCCUGAAAACCCCGCAGUUGGCUUCAAACAGAAAAGCAUCACCUGACACCGCUAUGACCUAAGGUGAUUGACAGGUGGGUGGCCCUCCAGGGGUGGGAGAGAGGAAAAUCUGGCUCUCUGCCAUGAAAAGGAAGGACUGGAUGAGAUCCGGCCUGAUGAUCUUCAGGCAUUAAUCCAGCUCCAAUGGGGAAGCCCCAUUGGUGAAGUGUGUAUAUAUGUGUGUGUGUGUGUGUGUGUGUGUGUGUGUGUGUGUGUGUGUGAUGAGCACAGGUGCACCUGACUACUCAUGGAUUCUGGGAACCAACUGGUCAUUUAUAGAGGGGCCCUUGCCGCUUCGUCUCAAACAAGAACCAACUACAGUGGUACCUCUGGUUACGUACUUAAUUCGUUCUGGAGGUCCGUUCUUAACCUGAAACUGUUCUUAACCUGAAGCACCACUUUAGCUAAUGGGGCCUCCCACUGCCGCCGCGCCGCCGGAGCAUGAUUUCUGUUCUCAUCCUGAAGCAAAGUUCUUAAUCCGAGGUACU